AUGGACCACGCGUCCGCUCCGGAUGUUGCGCGCCGCCCGCACCACACUGACGACCGCUCGCGCCGUCGUCGGCA
rnacentral:sRNA from 1 species